rnacentral:rRNA from 1 species
UACAGAGGGUGCGAGCGUUAAUCGGAAUUACUGGGCGUAAAGCGCGUGUAGGCUGUUCGGAAAGUCGGAUGUGAAAGCCCUGGGCUUAACCCAGGAAGUGCAUUCGAAACUCCCGAACUGGAGUCCCGGAGAGGAAGGCGGAAUUCGUCGGUGUAGAGGUGAAAUUCGUAGAUAUCGAGAGGAACUCGGUGGCGCAAGGCGGCCUUCUGGACGGUGACUGACGCUGAGACGCGAAAGCGUGGGGAGCAAACAGGG